CCGGGGGCGCGGGCGGGUAUGUGAGAGAGAAGGCGAAGGGAGCCGCGGGGUGGGAGAGGAGGGAGUCCCGGCGGGAGGGCGGGGGAGAGACUGGCGGGAGGGGGGCUCCACGGAGCUCCAGCCAGGGCCGCGGUGCGCCUGCACGUCACGGCUACUCAAACCCAAGCACGUCCCGAAAGCGGUAUUUUCUGCGUCUGGGAGGUUUUUGCAUCCUCAGUUCCCACCGCUGGGGCUGGCGGCGACCAACUGUAAGAGAAACUCACUGGGAGGCGAGGCAGGGGGGUGCGGAGGAUGGGAAGGCGACUCUGAAGGGUGGGAAGUGAAUGCUGGACUUGAUCGUCUUUCUCUUUCUUUCAGCGCAGACCUGUCGCAGCCAGAGAGCUGUCAUUUCAGUACCGGGAUUCAGAAUUGAUCCAGUCCGCAGCGGAGGGGGCACAUCCCAGCUACCGAGCUGCUGAGUGUCUCUGGCUGGAACAAUAGUAUUUUUUUCUCUGCGAGGCUGCAAUUAACAUCUUAUUUUUUCUGGCUCCAUACAGGCUUUGUCAGGAUCGCGGUGCGGCGACCGACGUUGGGCUCUUGCAUUGCUUUCUGCUUGGCAAUGGAAUCAUGGUUUCGGGGUCUAAACUUUUGUUUCGUUUUGUAGUCUUAAUGUAUCUGAUUCUUUUUCAAGUUUCCCUAGUAACAGGUUUGGGGACGGGGUGGGAAGAAGCGAGAAAAGGGGUGAAGAGAAAAAAACAGAUUAUAUAGAAAGGGAAAAGGGAUGUUUCCCCACCUUUUAAUCUAACUAUCUAUCUGUCUGUCUAUCUAUCAUCAUAGAUAGUCAUUUUGCCUCCUGGACAGUUGGCUGACGAAGUGUCUGAUAAACCAGCUUCAGAUACAUGCUACAAAAGGCUACUGAGCUGGCCUGAUGAUGAUCCUGCUGAGAUAUAUUUAUAGCAGAUGAUUUGUGGAUGAUAACUACGCCAAGCAAGACACUGUCUCUAGUAACCCCAGGCUCGUCUGACUUCCUCAGGGGAUUAUAAUAAAGAAUCACAAAAAGAACCCUAUAUGGACAGUCUGGUCUCUGGACACUAACAACAGCACAAUCCAAAGGCAAAGCAAGGAGGAACCACCUUGUUUCAUGUCUGCAAGAUGCUCCAUAUGAAAGCAUUACUGACAUGUUGACCCAACAGCAAAAAGAGAGCAGCAGUUUACACACCCUCAGCUCUCUGUCCUUUCCUUUCUAUUGAUGUUGGUCCACUUUUAUGACUGAAUACAUAUUAAAAUCACCAUUUCAAAUUAUAAUUAUCUGCUUUCAUUGGUCUCUUUCACAAGUCUAUGUCUGUAUUUAUGUUUACA
rnacentral:lncRNA from 1 species